GCCCAACUAGCUCAGUAGGUAGAGCGACUUUUAUUCUCAUGGUCGUGGGUUCGGACCCCACGUUGGGCG